GGCGCUGAGAGGGAGGUGGGGCUGAGGCUCCACACCCAGGGCUGGCUCAGUGUCCCUGUGCCCAGUCCGCACGCUGCCUAGGAGAGCCCCCACGUCUCCCAGGAUGGGCAGUGCUACGGAACGCAGAUGAGCCACUCGGAGGCCGGGCGAGGCCAGGCCAGGCCAGGCCACGGUAGGACAGACUCGGAGAGGCGGAUUCCGAGCUGCACCUCUUCUCACCAGCAGUGGCUUCCCCUGACCCGGAGCUCCGAGGCCUGUGAGAAGGCCUGGGCUUUGGCCCACAGAGGAAGCUGGAGCUGCCGGGGUUCCUUUCUCUGAAUUGGACCCAGGCUGGGGCUGAGGAUGCCCAGUGGGAGUGGGGAGAGGUUUUGAGAGAGCCCCGGGGGGAGGCAGCCGAGGGCGACAGGGGCUGGAAAGCCCUGCAGAGACCCGAAGCUGCUCCGGUGGGGCGCAACCCUCGCAGGCGACGUACCCUGGAGAAGGCCGAGGCCUGUCUGAAGAUCUCAAGCGCAGAGUCUGCAAGUUCAUCCCCUCGUUCCUGAGGUCUGGUGGCUGGAGAGGAAAGAAAAGGCAGCCUUACUUGUCAUGGCUCAUGGUGGCGUCUGGCCCAUGGGAGAGCUCCAAGAAGGGCGAAUGCACACGUGAGGAGAGAGGCGGGACUCAAGUUCAAGUGUGCUGGAGGCAAAGGGCACACACAAGGCAAGAGGCUACAGACCAGUGCCGGGAACCACGUGACCGGCGUCCACAGUGCCAGGGUGAGCUGUGCCCUGGAGCCCUGGUGGCAGGCACACUCACCGAGCUGACUUCCAGCUUGUCACCCUGGAGAGAUUUCAGCCGCACCAGGGCCCCGAUGCCUCCACUAACCAGGAUUUCAUCGCCAACGUGGUAUUUCAGGAUGUUGGCAAGUUCCUUGGCAUUUCCUGCAGGUUUGUGGGAAAAGGAGACAGAAUUAAUCCCAAGGUUGGGAAUUACAUGGUCAAGGAGGCCCAGAGGAGAAGAUGCAAGCUGUCACCCCUGAGACGGAGAACUCCCUGCCCAGGUAAUGAGCACUCAGGGAGCACCCACGGGGUGCCCAGCUCUGUGACCCACCGUCUGCCUAAUGCUCAGUGGACACAAGGCGCGUGGCCACGAAUCUGCCCCUGCAGCCGGCAGGCUGCUGGGUUAAAUACGUGCUCUCUGGGCUGCGGGGCUCCCGGCUGCCGGGAAGGAGUUAAUCCAUACUCCUCUGUGAGCAUGACUCAUGUUUCCAUGAGCUAAAUAUUUGCCUGGAAAGCCAGGGACUUUUCCAGCACCGGCAUCUGGGACGUUUCAUCAUCAGUGUGGCUCCCGGCGGUUAUAACACAGUAGUGCAAUAUUUACACAUUCUGCCCCCAAAUGCAUAUUCUGUUUGAGACAGCUAUUUCCUGAAAGGAGAACUUAAAAGAGUCAACAGCUGCACGGUGAAGGAGCCGCGGAGCCGAUGAGGUCAGGGCCGAGGGGGUGUUCCCUCCGCGGGUCCCUCCCGGGCACGGCCCGGCAUUCCUUCCAGCCCACAUCAGCAUCUCUGGCGACUGGGCCAGGCAUCUGGUUGCCCAUAAAGGUGCACAGGCAUUUCCCAGAGUAAGUGUGGGCGGCGAUUCCUAACGUUUCCAGCUGCCCUCUCAUCCCUGACACUCCUGUCACCCAGCAAAUGGCUGACUGUCCCCAGGGCUUCUGGAUGGCAGUUUCCAGCACCUUGAGACUGAGGAUGGAGGAAGUUUUAAAGCAUUUUGGGGAGUUCAGUGGUUAUGGACAAAUUCCAUGUUAGUGCCAGGGAUGGAGCCACCGGGUACCAAGUGAUUUCCAAACAUCCAUAACCCGGAGCUGGCAAAGUUCCCCUUCCACAAAAAUACUGCCCGGAGGUGCAGAGCUAAGCUAGCCCCCAGGGCUCAAGGGGCCACCUUCUUUCUAGAUCUCUAGCUCCUGGACCCCCCUCCCUCCCCGACGGGAGCCUGCAGGCCUGCGGGAAGGAUGUUUGGGAAGCUUUCCUCAUGCCCUUCCUCUGCUCCCGCACAAUUAGAAACGAACAGGAAGCUGAGCAGGCUCAGGCCACCCGGGGGAUAUUCCAUUCUAGCUGGACAGAGAGAGGAUGGAAAGUUUAUGUUCAGCAGGAACUUCUCCCUCAGGAACGUACGUCCGCAUCGCACACACAGGCAUUCAUUCAGCAAUAAAGAAAAUUAAACAGGACAAGCAUUCACCUCGGAGCUGCCUGCCAUCGGCAACACGGGCCCUGAGGUUUGUUCAAGGUCCUUCCUCCUCCUGCUCAGACUAACCUUGGGGGGACAGUGGCAGUGUCCCUCGCAGGCAGGCAUCAGAGCCAAGCACUGCAGCUCCUGCCCGCGUCCCCGUCAUCAGAGCUGCUGCUGAUGGAGCACGGGUGCCUGGCACCGCCGCACCCUGGACCUCACGACACAGCGAGCGAGGAACUCUGACCGUCCACCUAUUUCUUAACCACUGGGUUGCCUCCCAAACAGCCUCAACGAGAUUCUCAGGGAAAGCUUUUAUCCCCAGGGACAUUUACUGCAGGUGACUGGCUUCGUUAUCACUGUCCUCCCAGGUCUCUGGUGGAAAACGCGCCUCAGUGAACAGGCUGGUCGUUCCCAGCCUCAGCUCCUUUCUUCUCUGCCUGGCCGGGGGCCCAGGAGGCUGUCCUCUGUGAACUACGCCAUCCAGCUGGCCUCGCCCCCUGUAAUCGGCUAACAGGGGCCCCGUGGGCAACUGUCGUGUGGGAGGACAGGGAGGCUGGGACACUCAGUGUCCCCUUGACAUGGUUCCGACAGUGGCUGCGUAUGGCUCCGGCCUCUGUCCUGCACCCUCUGUCCAAGGCUCAGCCCUCCCCAUUCCUGCCUGCACCCUCUCAGCCCCUAGGGGUGGUAAAGGCUCCCCCGGCUGCUACUGCCUGUGUGUCACCACCGUUUGCUGGUUCCCUUAAUCCUGCCCACACUUGUACAAACAGCCUCGUCAUUAAAUCCCUCUGAGUCAACCCCUUUGUGACGUGCCAGCUGUUUCCUGCUGGAACCCCGAUGGAAUGUGGCUUCGGAAAAGCAGGACUAUGUGCGUAAGUCGAUCUUUACCCAAGAGUUUGUUCAGUUCUCCCGGCGGCAAGGCUUGGAAGGCUUCAUUUGUGGGAGCAAAGACCGUGUAGACCCCUUCUCGGUUGAGGGUCUCCGUCAGCCCUGCAGACUGGAUGGCGGCCACCAGCAUGCUGCGGACGCACACACAGAGCACGUCACCUGCCUGCAGGGCACGGGGGCAUUUCCCUCCAGUCCCUCCCCACUGGGGGGCAGAGCCCAGACCACCGCAGUGCACACCGCUCGGCUUGCACACGCUCCCUGUGCACACGGGGGACAAUUCCAGUCCCCACCAGGCGCCAACGCUAAGACCAGCCAGGAGGCCGGGAGUCCGAGGCUGGAGGGGAGGGAAGGAGAGGAAAGCGCAGAGGCAUGGCCGACCCAGAGACUGGCCGCGCCGCUGGGCCUGGGCAUGUGGCUCCCGGGGUGGGGGCGGGGGGCAGCAGGCUCGGGGUCUCCAGCCCAGGAAGGUGGCUGAAGCCAGUGACAGGGAAGCGCCCAGGGGUGAACGAGCAUGUCAGAGACGGAGGGGGCGGGGAAGCAGGUGCGCUGACUGAGGGCUCCAGCUGCCGUGAGUAGACACUGCCAGAGAGCAAGACACUGGUCCCAUCCUCCAAGCCAGGCACUCUCGGCUCACUUGGGACUUUACCAGAGAGGGAGGUUUUCCUCGCGCUUCAGUGAUAGAAACGUAGCCCCUGCCCUGCUUCCCGUGCACGUGAGGGUCACACCCCAGCAGUAACUUUCUUCCCAGCUCAGGCUUUCGAGGUGACCCUCACCCUUUGCCCCUGCCUGGAAGGUCGCCCCAGUGUGCGACAGUGUUAACUGAACCCCAGAGAUGGGGGGAGAUUGACACACAGCCAGGCACCCCGCCCUGCCCCGCAUGACUGCCUGGCAGAAGACCUGCCCUGGGGUGGGACUCUUUACCUAAAGCGACUGUCCCCCUUCAGGACAUCCAUGACGGUCCCCAUGGGGGGAGUC